rnacentral:lncRNA from 1 species
AUGCAGGAAGAUGGAGGGAAUGGAGAGUGGUGCCAUGCUGUCCCCCCGGUGCACAGACGUGGCUGCGCAGACCGGUGCUCCUUUGGGGACGCUGGAAGGACAGCACGUGUUUGUCCACACCACUUGGGCCAGCAUACCUGCUGGGAGAGGCGGGUAAUGCCAAAGGAGCAGAAGGAAGUGACAGAGGAUGAUGGCAAUGUGACACCGCUUUUGCCCUGGUAUUGCUGCCAGAUGUUUUGGGACAUCCGGGCUCCUGAAUCAGGAGAUUACUCUCCCUCUUUCUGAGCAAGACAUCCUUCCAAUUCACCUGGGGGAUAUGUCUUUUUAUUUUGGUUUCCUCCUUACCAUGUGCUGCUUUUUAAACAAUUAAAUAGUGGAGCUACUAAAAUGUCUGCUCUGUAGC